rnacentral:tRNA from 1 species
UAGCUCAGCGGGCAUAAGCACCUGCCUUGCAAGCAGGUGGUCCUGAGUUCAAUUCCCAG